CUUUUUGGCUGUGAUAAUUUUCCAACAGUUUUAAAAUAAAAUGAAUAACUUCAUGGGAUCUGUACAUUAUAUACACCAAGUUUUAACUCACAUUUUUUUGUGUGUGUGCCAAGAAGCCACUGAAGUAGGUUGAGGGGAAAAUAAACAUUGAAAAACCUAUGUAGUUAAUGAAGAAAGCACCAAGAGGUUAUUCUUAAUGUUUGCUUAGCCUCUUGUACUCUGACUUAGUAUUGUGAGUACUAAACCUUAGCCAUAGUAUUAAACCUCCUACUAUUUUUUUUUCAUAGUUCCAGAAAAAACUAUUAUUUGCGUUCCUAUUUAAUAGUUCCUAAGAAUCUGGGCGUUGCCAGAUCAUCUUUGAGACAAUUCUGAUUGGCCCCACUAAGAGCAAGCCGCUGUGUAAAAAUAGCAACUGCUGGGAGAUAUUCCCAAGACAAAGUCAAAGCUGCCAAUCAACUCCAGCCCUGGGCAUCCACUCCACUUCCACAAGGACGCUAUGCUGGUGAAGUUCUCUGUGGAAUGGAAGACUGAACUAGCUAUUGGACUGGGAUUUACAUUAUUGGCUGCCUUCAUUUUUGGAUCUUUGACGCAGACUAAAUUAUACCACUGGCUUUCCUGGAUCUCCAGUUUGCAGACAGCAGAUUGUGGGACUUUUCAGCCUCCAUAAUCAUGACCAGUCUGUAUUGGACACCAGUGACAUGAGGCCAUUCACCAACCUUGAGGAGAGUUCCAGCCCUCAGCAGACACCCAGGAGACUCUGUUCUCAAUACUCUGUACUAACAACUUGACACAAUGCCAAUACAACCUCAUGAUUAAGAGAAACCAGGCAUGACUCAAUAAACUUUGAUUGUUUGGGACAUCUGCCUCAGUCACUCAUUUUGGUUGUCAGCAUGGACUCUAGAUCAGACCAAGUUGACCUCCCUUCUUCACCAUUAACUGCUUUGAGAUAAGAAGCUACAGCAUCUGUCAAGAGCCGUAUGUAGCUUGAGAUGACUACCUGAAGAUGUAUCAUGGUAUCAGCUGGUUAGUUAAGAAGUCGUUUUCCAGCUUCAACUGGCAAGUAACAAGCCAAGCAAGAAUUUCAAUGGAAAAUUACAGAGAUACUAACAGGUUUGAGUACUUAUGAAUACAAAAUAAAUAAACGGAUUUAAAUUACUUUAUUAUUACAAUGCAGAAAUGAGGAAGUGUAAUAGCCAGCUAGUCUUGGAACAUGGCACUGUGAAUGAAAUGAUUAAUUGCAUAUUCAUCUGGUCUCAGAUACAGGACAUUCUCUUGCAUAGGUUAAAUGUAUUAAUGGUAGAGAAUUAUGCAAAAAAUACUCAUUUUCUCCAAUACCAGAACAUACAGGAAGCAAGUAAAGUGAGUGCCUUUUUACCAAUAGUACCAGUAGAUAAGAAGAUAAGAUACAGAUAAUAAAGCACAGAGCAUUGCACAGAUCUACACCAAUGGAUUGGAAUGGAAUGUAGGAUUCUCUUCUUGCUGUGGACACCAUCAAAAUGUGAGAUCACUUCUCUGCUCAAUAGGACAAUCAUACUGAUUCCUUAGGAAGACAUAUAGGAAUCAGUAGAGGGAGAUCCUACCCUGGAAUCGUUUGAUGUCCUUGGGUUAUCUUCCUCUACAAAAAGGGCUAGUUGAAAUAAUGACAUGUGGGAGAUCAGCACUCCAAGUCAAAAUUGCAAAACAGAAGAAAAUUCCAGAAUUAUAUCACUGUUAACAGAUAAACCUUGCAGUGUACCCAGUUGGAUUUCAGAACAUUGAAGAGCAGCAGCUUUUAUGGGAAUAAGAGUGUCCCUUACAGGUAAUCUCCUCGACAUUUAUAUUGGGUGAGUCACAGUCAGAAAAUAUCUUAGUUUGUAACUUUGAGGAUGAAGAGUAGGUGUAUUCAAGGAGCUACCUUCUUGAACACAAUUGAAGGUCAUGAAAUUCUGAACUUCAAGGUUGAUACCAUGAUUUCAUGAGACUUUUGAAAGUCCUAGGAUGGCAAUGAGAAUAUCUUUUAUGUGGAAAAAUUGUGGGUAAUUUGUGGCCAGAGGUUGGACUGUGGUAGAUUCGAAAAGUGGUUGCAAAAGUUUUCCAUUCUUGUUUCAUGUCCUUCAGUCAUGACUUCUCCUAGUGACUUUAAGAUUAUCGAUGUGAUUUGCUUUGCCUAUGAGGCAAUAAGCAAAUGUGACACAAGCAGAGGCUUAAAAAUGCGUAUGCUUUAGGAGAGGUUAGCUGUUGCUCUUGGGAAACACAGAACCAUAUAAAGCUGCUAACCUUCUGGCAGAUGAGAAUCAUCACGGAGCAGAGAUGAGGCUAAACAGCUGAGGCUUCUCUAAAAAACAAAACAAACAAACAAACAAACAAAAGCAGUGCACUUCUCAGGUGAUUGGCAUCGGAUAGCAGAAGCAUCGGUGAGUCAGCUGAGGUACAUAGAAGAAAUGCCUACCUGAGCCAACCCAAAUUGCCAACCCACAAAAAUCUGAAACCAAAUAAAUUGUUUAAAACUACUAGGUUUGAGAGUAUUUUGUUACAAAGCAGGUUAACCAAGGCAAUUAAAUGUAAAAGGUAUACUAAAUGAAUAAUUUUAUAAACAUUAAGCCAUAAUGACAUCAAAUUGAUUUUGAAGUUCAUUAAUGCAUACAGUCCUCAAACUGCUUUAUUCAUUGUAUACUGUAAUGUUUCACAUUUAAUUUCUGUAUCUAUUCCACUAAAGUUUAGUUUUUACUUGAGAAGACAAAAAUAUUAUUAUAGGAAAUUUUAUAUCAUACUCAUAAUUUGAUUUGUGAAAAUAAAUAAAAUUCAAAUAAUGUUGAUUUCUGUUAAUGAUGCUGAUUGCUUAUUAGAUCCUACACAUAUAAGUGAAUCAUUUGCCCAUAAAUAUUAUAGAUUAUUAUCAUAACAAGUAUUGAAUAACCUAUACUUCUCAUUUUGAAGAAGUGUAUUCUAUCUUUAAUCAGUUGUGCCUAAAUUUAAAUGUGUAUACAUUUAAGAAUUUUAUCAAAAAAUGUCUUUAAAAAAUCAAAAACAUCAUCAAACUGCCAAAAAUAGAAAAGCUGGGGUAGAGAAGUGAAACUAUUGCUCAGUGAUACAGUCCCUUUUUGUGCCAGCAACAGCUGGGCAAUCAACUUUCAUUUAUAACUAUCUACCGUAAGCAGCUUGCCCGUGGCCAAGUCAAUCAUUAUAGAAUCUAAUGGUACAUCAAUUUUCUUCCAAGAUUUAAUUUGGCACACAGGGUUUUGAAAAAGAAGACUAUCAUAAAAUAUUGCUACAACUCCAGAAUCUAAUAUCUUACUUGUGUUUUGACCCCAUUAGAUAAAAUAAAUUGAAAUCCUUUCAUUAAUGUGUUAACAGAGUCAUUUUAAAAUUGAAUUUUCAUAGUGAUCUCCUUGAAAUUGCUUAUAAAGAACUAAGUUAUGUUGCUAAGGUUCUUAUGCAAAUUUUAAACAGAUAAUAUACCUUUUUGUCUCACAACCAUAACACAUCAAUGCAAGGUUCUGUGUUAACCAAUUUCUUACCAACAAAAUAAUUUUUAAUUUGAUUGUUCUUGGUUUGAAGAUUUGCUACUUCUCUUGUUUAAUUUGUGCAGAAUAAAUUUUAUUAGAGUCUUUUACAGAUAUCUUAUGACAGUAGGGAGUACAUGUGAUCAUAUUUUAUAAAUAUUUUCAAGUUGGUAUCAUGCCUAAAUAUCCUAAGUAGUGAUUUGUGAAUAAUGGCAAAUUAAAAUGAAUUAAUGAGAAGUUUGUUAAAAAUGCAGAUGCUCAAAAGAUUAUAUUGCUAGCAGUGUACGGCUAAGUAGAAGUUAAGUGUUCCAGGAUUUGUGAACCAUCAUUUUAAGGACUGAACUGAUGAUGAAAUCACUUAAGUGAAUAUAUUAGCUACUAUACAAAAGAAAAAAUAAAAAAAGUACUUUUUAGAUAACAGAUAACAGCAAAAUGAAGCAUAUUGCAAUAAUACUUUAUCUAUAAUUCUGGAAACAUAAUUUUUAGUUCUUAGGAAUCAUAGGAAUUAGGAUAUAAUAAACAUAAAAAUGAGCUCAAAGAUACAAGUCCAAAAUACAAAUUUUUGUUCUUUUCCUCCUUCCCUAUAUGAAUCAGAAUUUGAGGAGGUGUCAUAGAAAUCUGGAUUUUUAGCAAGCCCAGAAGUUAAUUGUAUAAAUGGUUCUCAAAGCAGUACCAUUUUGCUGAUGUACUUACCAUUGCUUACUAAUCCCCACUCUUUGACAGGCAUUGCAUUCAAGUGCCUUUCAAUUUUGUUUAUUUAACUGCUUAAAACUAUUAUGUUGUAGAUAUUCUUGCGCCUAUGUUACAAGGGUAAGAAAAUGAUUAAAUAAUCAUCUAAAGUCAAAAAAAUAAUAAAAAUAAAGCCAGGAAGCAACUCAGAUC
rnacentral:lncRNA from 1 species